rnacentral:rRNA from 1 species
CCAUGCAUGUCUAAGUACAUGCCGUAUUAAGGCGAAACCGCGAAUGGCUCAUUAAAUCAGUUAUGGUUCCUUGGAUCGUACCUUACUACUUGGAUAACUGUGGCAAUUCUAGAGCUAAUACAUGCAGCAGAGCUCCGACCUUCGGGGACGAGCGCUUUUAUUAGACCAAAACCAAUCGGACCUCGCGUCCGUUUCUGGUGGUGACUCUGUAUAACUUUGGGCUGAUCGCACGGGCCUGUCCCGGCGACGUAUCUUUCAAGUGUCUGCCUUAUCAACUUUCGAUGGUAGGUUACGCGCCUACCAUGGUCGUAACGGGUAACGGGGAAUCAGGGUUCGAUUCCGGAGAGGGAGCCUGAGAAACGGCUACCACAUCCAAGGAAGGCAGCAGGCGCGCAAAUUACCCACUCCCGGAACGGGGAGGUAGUGACGAAAAAUAACAAUACGGGACUCUUUUGAGACCCCGUAAUUGGAAUGAGUACACUCUAAAUCCUUUAACGAGGAUCUAUUGGAGGGCAAGUCUAGUGCCAGCAGCCGCGGUAAUUCUAGCUCCAAUAGCGUAUAUUAAAGUUGUUGCGGUUAAAAAGCUCGUAGUUGGAUCUCAGUUCCAGACGGGUGGUCCGCCUACCGGUGGUUACUGCCUGUUCUGAACAGCCAGCCGGUUUCUCUUGAUGAUCUUCACCGGUUGUCUUGGGUGACCGGCAAGUUUACUUUGAAAAAAUUAGAGUGCUCAAAGCAGGCGUGACGCCUGAAUAAUGGUGCAUGGAAUAAUGGAAUAGGACCUCGGUUCUAUUUUGUUGGUUUUCGGAACACGAGGUAAUGAUUAAGAGGGACAGACGGGGGCAUUCGUAUUGCGACGCUAGAGGUGAAAUUCUUGGACCGUCGCAAGACGAACUACUGCGAAAGCAUUUGCCAAGAAUGUUUCCAUUAAUCAAGAACGAAAGUUAGAGGUUCGAAGGCGAUCAGAUACCGCCCUAGUUCUAACCAUAAACGAUGCCAGCCAGCGAUCCGGCUGUGUUCCUCAAAUGACACGCCGGGCAGCUUCCGGGAAACCAAAGCUUUUGGGUUCCGGGGGAAGUAUGGUUGCAAAGCUGAAACUUAAAGGAAUUGACGGAGGGGCACCACCAGGAAUGGAGCCUGCGGCUUAAUUUGACUCAACACGGGAAAACUUACCCGGCCCG